AGAGGGAACAGGACAGGGAUACCAUCUUACACAGAGAUGAGUGAAGUGUUUCAAGUGAACAACAUUGUACUGAAGCGGAAGCUGCUUGUGUCUGUUGCUGGCUGUCUUGCCUUCGGUCUCGCUGUCAUCACACUGGGAUGCGUAUGUCUGAGACACAGAAGGAAGUCAGUCACAGGUGAAAAGACAAAACCACAGAGUGACCUGUUUUUCUCAAUGGCGGAACGGAACACGG